rnacentral:rRNA from 1 species
AGUGAACGCUGGCGGUAGGCCUAACACAUGCAAGUCGAACGGCAGCACAGUAAGAGCUUGCUCUUACGGGUGGCGAGUGGCGGACGGGUGAGGAGUACAUCGGAAUCUACUUUUUCGGGGAGGAUAACGUAGGGAAACUUACGCUAAUACCGCAUACGACCUACGGGUGAAAGCAGGAGAUCUUCGGACCUUUCGCGAUUGAAUGAGCCGAUUUCGGAUUAGCUAGUUGGCGUGGUAAAGGCCCACCAAGGCGACGAUCCGUAGCUGGUCUGAGAGGAUGAUCAGCCACACUGGAACUGAGACACGGUCCAGACUCCUACGGGAGGCAGCAGUGGGGAAUAUUGGACAAUGGGCGAAAGCCUGAUCCAGCCAUACCGCGUGGGUGAAGAAGGCCUUCGGGUUGUAAAGCCCUUUUGUUGGGAAAGAAAAGCAGCAGGUUAAUCCCCCGCUGUUUUGACGGUACCCAAAGAAUAAGCACCGGCUAACUUCGUG